rnacentral:misc_RNA from 1 species
AAAAAAAUUCCAAACCCAAACCGCAUGAGAAAAACGAAACGACUGAGACACAGAUACUGAAAAAGGUUAACGUCCCUAAAACAGAAAACCCCUUCGGCUUCCCGCGCCUGAUUUCCUAUUCCCUACGUAUUUAUUAUCUAUCCAUAAGUAUAGGUCCAGCAAUUUUGCAAAAACAGACGACAUCGCUAUGACUCAGCCAUCGGUGCCACCGCCGCUGGCGUCACAACCACCGCCACCGCCAGCGCCGCAGUCACAAGGCGGAGGCGUCCAGGUUCGGUGUGCAGGUUGCCGGAUGAUCCUGACUGUGGCACCGGGUCUGAUUGAUUUUGUGUGUCCGAGUUGUCAGAUGCAUCAAAUGUUGCCGCCGGAGCUGAUGAGUAGGGUCCACAACAACCACCAGCAAAAAAACAUACAACAGUCGCAAGUUCCAGCUCACGGCAUCGAUCCAUCGAAGAUCCAGCUUCCUUGUGCUAAUUGCAAGGCUAUUCUUAAUGUUCCUCAUGGCUUAGCUCGGUUUGCGUGCCCGCAGUGUGGUGUCGAUCUCGCCGUCGAUUUGACCAAAGUUAAACAGUUCUUUUCUCUUCCUCCGACGAGACCGCUGCCUCCUCCCGAGGAAGUCAACGAGGUAGCCAUUGAAGUGGAGCGAGAUGAAGAUGAAGGUGGCAUAGUGGGAGAAACAUUUAUAGAUUAUCGACCUCCAAAACUAUCUAUUGGACCAGCUCAUCCAGAUGCAAUUGUGGAGACAUCUUCCUUAUCUGCAGUACAGCCGCCUGAGCCCACUUAUGAUCUAAAAAUAAAGGAAGAUUUGGAAACAAAAAAGGCUUUGUCGUGCUUGCAGAUUGAGACGUUGGUGUAUGCUUCCCAGAGACAUCACCAGCAUCUUCCAAAUGGUGCCAGGGCUGGAUUCUUUAUUGGAGAUGGAGCUGGUGUUGGUAAAGGUCGAACAAUUGCGGGGUUGAUAUGGGAGAAUUGGCUCCAAGGGAGGAGGAAAACAUUGUGGAUUUCUGUUGGUUCAGACUUAAAGUUUGACGCAAGAAGAGACUUGGAUGAUGUGGGUGCAACAUAUAUUGAAGUGCAUGCUUUAAACAAGCUACCCUAUUCAAAGCUUGACUCGAAGUCUGUUGGAAUAAGGGAGGGAGUAGUAUUUUUGACAUAUAGUAGCCUUAUUGCUUCUUCUGAAAAAGGACGUUCUCGUCUACAACAGCUUGUUCAAUGGUGUGGAUCAGGGUUCGAUGGUCUUGUCAUAUUUGAUGAGUGCCACAAGGCAAAAAAUUUGGUACCUGAAGCUGGAAGUCAGCCAACACGAACAGGUGAAGCAGUUCUUGAGAUCCAGGCUCGACUUCCUGAAGCACGUGUUGUUUAUUGCUCAGCAACUGGUGCAUCUGAGCCACGCAAUAUGGGUUAUAUGGUCAGGCUUGGUCUUUGGGGAGCUGGAACAUGUUUUGAUGAUUUCCAGAAGUUUCUAGGUGCUCUUGAAAAGGGGGGUGUAGGAGCAUUGGAACUUGUUGCCAUGGAUAUGAAAGCAAGGGGAAUGUAUGUAUGUCGUACCCUUAGCUACAAAGGGGUUGAGUUUGAAGUUGUUGAAGCACCUUUAGAAGCUGAAAUGAUUGAAAUGUACAAAAAAGCAGCAGAAUUUUGGGCUGAGUUGCGAGUGGAAUUGCUUUCUGCAAGUGCUUUUCUUGCUAGUGACAAACCCAUUUCUAGUCAAUUGUGGAGAUUAUAUUGGUCAAGCCAUCAGCGUUUCUUUAGACACAUGUGCAUGUCAGCUAAGGUUCCUGCUACUGUAAGACUAGCUAAGCAAGCAUUGAUGGAAGAUAAGUGUGUGGUUAUUGGCCUCCAGAGUACUGGAGAGGCUCGAACUGAGGAAGCUGUGACAAAAUAUGUGUGUCUGUAAUCUAUGAUGUGCUAUCUCCAUUUUCUUUGUGGUUGUUUUUAGUGUCUAUUGUUUAAUCACUCAUUUGAAUGGUUCCCUCUCUUCUUCCUUUUAAUGACUCGUUUCAAUAAAAGAUGAAACCACAUUGAGAUAGUGAUAGAUGAGUGCAUGGAGUAAAAGGUAUGUAUUCUAAAAGAACCUAAUGCAUAACUAUUGAAACAAAGGUGCUAUAUAGUCCUACCAAAAAUCCACUAUAGAAACUCUUCAAAGCUUUAAAAGCAAAGCAUUGAAUGUAAAACAUCUUAAAGAAGCCAAAGUAAUUGCAAAGAUAAUUUGUGGGCCUUCAAGACCCUUUGCAUUUUGUUUUCCCAUCCAUGUACACUACACAACUAUUGAAAUAGUCUAUUUCCAAGAGAGUAACAUAACUCCUACUUGUCAUCUUUAUAUAUAAACUCUUUAUAGUACGCAUAGCAACUCAUUGGAUGCCUUUCUAUUCUUUGUCAUGAGUAAGAUCUUGAAUUCUUUUCAAUGCUUUCUGUUGUAGGGUCUUGAACUUGAUGAUUUUAUAUCCGGACCCCGUGAACUGUUGCUAAAAUUUGUGGAAGAAAAUUAUCCUUUACCAGAAAAACCUGAACCUCUCACAGCAGAGGAAGGUGUGAAAGAACUUCAGCGGAAGAGGCACUUAGCAACACCUGGUGUUUCACUGAAAGGGAGAGUUAGAAAACUUGCAAGAUGGAAACCAACAAGUGAUGGUGAAAGUGAUGAAGAAUCUGAAACUGACUCUGCACCUGAAUCCACUGAAUCUGAUGAUGAGUUCCAGAUCUGUGAGAUUUGCAAUACUGAAGAGGAAAGGAAGAAAUUGCUUCAAUGUUCUUGUUGUGGCCAACUUGUCCAUCCUGCAUGUUUAGUCCCACCCAUUACAGAUUUAGUGUCUGAAGACUGGUCAUGUUAUUCAUGUAAAGAAAAAACAGAUGAAUUUUUUCAAGCUAGGCAAGUCUAUCUAGCUGAACUCUUGAAGAGGUAUGAAGCAGGUUUGGAGCGCAAGUCAAAAAUUUUGGAGAUAAUUCGCUCCUUGGAUCUCCCAAAUAAUCCUUUGGAUGAUAUUAUUGAUCAGCUUGGAGGCCCUGAUAAAGUUGCAGAAAUGACUGGGAGGAGAGGUAUGCUUGUAAGGGCCUCUAAUGGAAAAGGUGUAACUUAUCAGGCACGGAACACAAAGGAUGUCACCAUGGAAAUGGUCAACAUGCAUGAGAAGCAGCUAUUUAUGGACGGUAAGAAAUUGGUUGCUAUCAUUUCUGAGGCUGGAUCAGCUGGUGUAUCACUGCAGGCGGACAGAAGAGCAGUCAAUCAGAAAAGAAGAGUUCAUUUGACACUAGAACUUCCUUGGAGUGCUGACCGGGCAAUUCAACAGUUUGGAAGAACUCAUCGAUCAAAUCAAGCUUCUGCACCAGAAUAUAGGCUACUGUUUACAAACCUUGGUGGUGAACGCCGAUUUGCAUCUAUAGUUGCCAAGAGAUUAGAAUCUCUAGGAGCGUUAACACAGGGAGACCGCAGGGCUGGACCAUCUUUGAGUGCUUAUAACUAUGAUAGUGCUUAUGGGAAAAAGGCUUUGAUGGUGAUGUAUAGAGGAAUAAUGGAGCAGGAUACCCUACCUGUUGUGCCUCCUGGAUGUUCUUCUGAAAAGCCAGAGACAGUUCAUGAUUUUAUUAUUAAGGCAAAAGCUGCUCUUGUUGCCGUUGGAAUAGUUAGAGAUUCUAUUAUUGGUACUUCUCUUUUUAUGGAAUUUUUCUUACUACUGUAGAGUCGAAUCACUCUCAGAUUUUGGUGUCCUUUUUCUUUUUUUGCUGCUCUAGUCAUUGUUAAAUAAGCUUGUGAUUUUUUUCCCUGUGACUUUGAUUUGUGAUGCAGUUUUUGUUACAUUAUUUUUGUGAGCAUUUUUUUUUCAAUCAUGGUCAUUAACUUUCAAGUUCCCUUAAUAUAGGUAAUGGAAAGUUAUCUGGCCGCAUAAUUGAUUCAGACAUGCAUGAUGUUGGACGUUUUCUCAACCGGCUCUUAGGACUACCGCCUGAUAUUCAAAAUAGGUUUCUGUCUCUUAGUUGAUUAAAGGAGCGAUAUAUUUGUUUCAACAUUAAUUAACAUUAUUAUGCAAAAUAUUUUUAUCAAUGUACAGGUUGUUUGAGUUGUUUGUUAGCAUCUUAGAUCUUCUUAUUCAGAAUGCACGAAUUGAAGGCAAUCUAGAUUCAGGAAUAGUUGAUAUGAAAGCUAACAUUAUUGAACUGCAAGGAACUCCAAAGACUGUUCAUGUUGAUCAAAUGUCUGGGGCGUCAACAGUUCUGUUUACUUUUACUCUGGAUCGUGGAAUCACAUGGGAGUCUGCAAGUGCCAUACUUGAGGAGAAGCAAAAGGAUCACCUCGGAUCUUCUAACGAUGGAUUCUAUGAAUCUAAGAGGGAAUGGUUGGGAAGACGUCACUUUGUUUUAGCAUUUGAAAGUCCUGCUUCUGGCAUGUUUAAGAUUGUCAGGCCUGCUGUUGGGGAAUCAGUGAGGGAAAUGCCUUUGUCUGAGUUAAGAAACAAAUAUAGAAAAUUAUCUUCUCUUGAGAAAGCUCGUAGUGGCUGGGAAGAUGAGUAUGAAGUUUCAUCUAAACAGUGCAUGCAUGGGCCCAAUUGUAAACUUGGCAAUUUCUGUACUGUUGGCAGAAGACUACAGGAAGUGAGUGUUUUGGGAGGCCUCAUUGUUCCAAUCUGGGGCACUAUUGAGAAGGCCCUAUCUAAGCAGGCUCGUCAAAGCCAUAAGCGAAUUCGUGUUGUGCGAUUAGAAACCACCACAGAUAACCAGCGGAUAGUGGGUUUGCUUGUCCCAAAUUCAGCAGUGGAAACUGUGCUUCAAGAUCUAGCAUGGGUUCAAGAUAUUGAUGAUUGACAAGUAGUCAUUAGAUUGAUAGACACCAUAAGAAGUUGCAAUUGUGCAGAUACAAGCUUGAGCCUCAUGCGGAAGGAAGAUAAAAAGUGUUAUAUUCUGCACCAUCCAAUGAAAUUGUGCAAUCUCAUUUUUUGUUUUUUUAUUUUCAUUUUUUUGGCUCCAUUUUUUGGCUUAUAUAUAAUUUUGUAUAUUUCUAACAUCUCUGCAUAUUGCAGAAGAUGGACUAUAAUAGGUUACCAAGAUAUAUUGUUCAUAGCUCUUGGGCUAGUUUGUACAAUUCAUUGAAAAACUGAGUAAAAUUACAGUUAAAACUUAAAUUUAAAUUGCUUACUGACC